rnacentral:lncRNA from 1 species
GAAUCACAAAAGAAUCAACCGAUAGCUGUAUUAAUCGCUAGUAAUGAUCAAGUAUACAAAUUUGGAAAGUGAGAGAGAGGGAUCUGUUAUACAGAGUAAUUUUUUUUCUUUUAACAAGUCAAUCUAUUGAAAAAUGAUGGGAAAAACAUGAAUCAUCAUCGUCAAGAUCCAUUUAACAUAACAGUAGAAAAGAAUCGAAAUUCAAGCCACAAAUUCACGUACAUACUUGAUAUUCAGAAUCCUCGCAUAUAUGCAUGAUUGCUCGGUGAUCCAUGAAUAAAUAUAUAUAAAGCUUGAUUGAAGGUCGAUGAUAGAUGACACUUCUUGCUUGCUCCUAUAUACUUUCUUAUUGCCGGUCUCCCGGAGUUAUAAGAUACUAUACCAGAAAGGAAGCACUAACACAUGAGAGAAACUGAAAUUAAGUACAGAACUACAGCUACAAUUGCCUGGCUCCAUCCUGUCUGCCUUUUUCUCUAUUCUAUGGAGGAAUGUUGUUGUUGCACAGAGAGAGGAAGGGAGAGUUUACAUUGGAGUAGUGUUCAUCGACCCUUUCAUAAAGGGAAUGCAAAUGCUCUAAAAUGACCCUUGAUCUACAAAGUAUUGUCUGUGAGAUGCCUCCGCUUGAAGAGGGUGUUUUGGUCAUAGAAGGAAGAUGACCAUAAUGGGUGGUUGAGAAAGAUGGGAAGUGCUUGUCCUCUCGAGCCAUUUCUUUCAGACUGUGCUUUUAAUCACAGCCCCACCUCCCGCAUCUCUCUAAGAAUGGAGGGAGGGACCAAGAGAAGAGUGAGAUAAAGGCAUUAUAGAGAGGGGACCCAUGCAGUGGAUAUGGGAAGAGUCACAAGGUAUUUGUUUAUGUGCACGCGGCUUUUAUUUUGUUGUGUUUUGACACUGUUUUGCUUUGCUUUGCUGGUG